AGCCUGGCGAGGUGCUGUCCAUGGGUUGCAAAGAGUUGGACAUGACCAAACAAAUGAACAACAAAAAGAAACAUAUGGGUUUAUUUCUGGACUCUCAAUUCUAUUCCAUCAAUCUAUACACCUGUCCUUCUGCAUAGUUUUCAGUGUAGUUCUAACUUGCAUUUGUGUUUUCCUGAUGACUAAUAAUUGCCCUAGAAGUUCUUUUUUGCCCUUUCCUGUCAAUCCCUCUCCUUGCUCCUUAGAACUGACCGCUGUUUUGAUUAGUUGUUGUUGUUGUUUUUUACCAUACAUCAGUCUUUGCUGUUCUAGAACUUUAUAUAAAAGGAACCACACAGUAUGCACCUAUUUAGUAUAGGCUUCUUUCACUCAACAUAAUGUUUUUGAGAUUCACCUUUUGGGGUGAUGCAUCAAGAUGAGCAUCAAGAGGGGGGAAUGUUGGGGCCAGUGUGAGGAAAGCAGGAGAGACUCCAUCUUGAAACCUGUCAUCCAUCUUAAAGACAGGAUGUGAACUGGGCCUGAACCCUGCCCAAGAGUGAGGAAACUGUUGCUAGUGAAAACCAGGUCUCCUGGAGACUUCCCUCCCCCACAGAUGACAACCGGAGAUUGUAGUUGAGGUCAGGCUGCCCCUGUUAGAUUAACCAUGGAGAUAUCCCCCCUUGAUGUAUAAUCAUUGUUCCCUGCCUUUAACCUUAAUUGUUUGUUCUCCUAGCUCCUACUUGUUGCAAAACUCAACCAUAUACAACAAAGAGGUUGCCAACAUGUAAUCAGUCAUGUAGUGGGGAGUAUAAAACUGGGCCUCUCGGAAACAUCAGGGUCCUUGUUGGGAACGGCUUCCCCUGGACCCGCUGGCAUAAUAAACUGUACUCCACUGUCUUGAGUGUCCUUUGCAACACUCAAGUGUGUUUUGCGACUGCAGUUUCCACAUUUCUGGUGCAUUGGCUGGGAAGCCCUUGGCGAGACAGGCCCGUUGAGCCUCUGCCUGUAACUUGCUGGGACGAGAGCCUCUGGGAAAGGAAGGUGCCUCCCCCUCCAGAUUGGCUCUUGUUUUAGUGACUCGUCCUUCCAGGUGGACUUCACAAGACUGUGGACGAUGGAAGGGAAGUGCGCAGGGACUGUCCCCUUUGCCGCGACACCCUCCCAUUCUCUUUAAGGACUCAGGGACCUCCUGAGCAUUGCUUGGGGCCAGAUUGGGAACUGUGGCUUUGGACACGUGUUUGCCUACAUCAGUGAUGAGACCGUCUUGGAUUUUGGAAGAAUCAGACUUGUGCAGAGAAGAGUACGUGGAAGCCUUAAUUGAUUGGAUCUGGUUGGCGGCUGAGAGAGCAAGAAAAGCAUGAGAGGUAUUACCAUUGAAAGACUUAGCAGGUAAAGCUCUUUUCACCCCAGUCAUAGCUGAGGUAAAGUGGCAGUUUUCUUGUUUCUCUGAGUGGAGACAUUGGCAGUGGCUGGGAUAUAAGACCCUGGCAAAAGAGCGACGAAAUAGAAGUUGAACUUGCCAUAAGUGAUAAAAGGAAAGUAAAAACAGGAUGAGUGGUGGAGAAUCUAAGCCGUCCAUUUUUGAAUGCAUGAUUAAAGACUUCAGAAAGGGCUUUGGAGGAGACUAUGGCAUAAAGUUAACCCCAAACAAGCUUAAAACCUUUUGUGGAUAGACUGGCCAUCCUUGGGGUAGGAUGACCUUCAGAGGGAACCCUAAAGUUGGACAAAGUUCAGGCUGUGUACUCUGUGAUAACCAGGCAGCCAGGCCACCCAGAUCAGUUUCUGUACAUUGACUCAUGGCUGCUAAUUGUGCAAAACCCACUCCCCUGGGCCUGGGUAUGUUACCUUAAAAAAAAAAGAAAGCGAGAUUUUGCUGGCUCAGGCAGAACCCAGGCAAGAAAAACUGAAAAAAUAUAUAUCAUGAUCCAGAGGAAGAGGAGCUCCCACUUCCUCCCCUACACGACAGGGACUCCCAGGCAUCUGAGGUCUACAAAGAAACCUCAAGAGAGAAAGGGUUUGCAGAUACCUCUUAGAAAAGUCCAGGUGGCACUGCAGACUGGCAUAUUCAUCCUGGCCCCACUGCUCUUUACUACCAGCUGUUCUCCAUAUAUAAGGAAAGGGGGCUAUUAACUGCAACUGACAAAGAGAUAAAAAAUACAGAUAAAAUUCUGCUGCUGUUGGAAGCAGUGUGGGAACCUGCUGCAGUGACGGUAAUGCACUCGUAGGGGCCACCAGUGGUUGGACACACCUCAAAAGAAAGGGAACUGUCUGGCCAACUGAGCGGCAAAACAGGCAGCUUCCUCAAACAAUAUAGCAACCAAACUUACGGUGACACCUGCGGUGUCUAGACUACCAACCGCCCAAGCGGCCCCAGUCUAAGACAAGGACAAAACAACACCUGGGCACGAACUGAGUGAGAUUUUAGCUUCAUAUUUUGUCAUACCAUAUCUAAUAGCCUUGUGUGCAGAUGUAAGCCUCCGAUGCCUAACCUGUGCCAAGAACAACCCAUCUCUCAAGGAGACUGGGCUUCUUGGAAUACAAUUAAAGGGGACAGCUUCAUUUAAACAUCUAGAAGUGGCCUUCACUGAGGUAAAGCCAUGCCAAGGAUACAAAUAUUUGCUGGUGAUGGUAUGUACUUUUACCGGAUGGGUAGAAGCUUAUCCCACCAAGACUGAAAAAGCGAAGGAAGUGGCCCGAUUCUUGCUGAGAGACAUUAUUUCUAGGUUUGGGUUCCCUCUGAGUAUAGAAUCAGAUAAUGGGCCCGCAUUUGUGGCUGAAUUAUUCUAACUGGUCUGCAAAGCAGUAAAUAUUCAAUGGAAACUACAUACAGCGUAUAGGCCACAAAGCUCAAGAAUGGUUGAGAAUGAACUGGACCAUCAAGGUGACUUUGGCAAAAUGGGUGCAAGAAACUGGCACCCCCCCUGGAUGGACGUGCAGUCAUUAGUGUUAGUGAGGAUCAGGAUGACCCCCUGGUUGCACGGGUAUUCCCCCAUGAGAUAAUGUUCGGGAGGCCUCCCUCACUUAUUUGGGAAGUAAAGUGAAAUUUAUUACAAAGAGAAGUGAUGGAGGUAUUAUAGCAACUGGAACAGUUGGGGAAGGUGAUCUGUGACAUCACCCUUUAUGUUAAAAAAUAAUUCCAUUUUCUCUAGACACUACUGUACACCCAUACUCAGCAGGAUAUUUACUAUGGGUAAAGGAUUGGAAGCAACAGAUGCUGUCCUGACUCACCUGGAAAGGGCCAUGCACAAUUGUACUAACCACUCCCACUGCAGUUAAAGUUGCAGGUAUUACUCCCUAGAUUCACCAUACCCAGUUCAAGACAGCAGCAGAGGAAAAGGGACCUUGGACUGCCCAUCCCAAACUGGAGGAACCACUGAAGACCUGACUUGUCUUCCAUCGGCGACCACAGAUUGAGAAUGGAGCCACUGCGAAUAAUUCUGCUGUUCCUGAUCAGCACGAUGAUCCUACUGGGACUGCAAACUCAGGAUAAUGUGUUCCUGUCCUGGGCCCACUUGUAUACAAACUUCCAUAGUACUUCUAACUGUUAGGUUUGUGGGGCCAUGCCUUUGUCAGUGAUGGAUGUACUCUCUUGGUGGGUGUCUCCCCUGUGCAGAGGGGACUUCAGCUCCCUCUGCUCAUUUUUGAGACAGCAACGAGAGGUGUUUGCUUCCUCGGUAACUCACAACCUGUCACUUCUUAUUUGGUGUAACCUGGACUUUAGCCAAAUUGAUCAAGGCCAUGGGAUAAUAUUUGAGGUAAAUGCAAGCCUGACAAAAGUGACCAAAGCCUAUACCUUUUACUUAAAAAAUAAAAGGAAUGAGAACUCAAUGGCCAGUAAGAAGGGAAAAUCCAUCAGGUAAUUUGAUUAAUUUUACAAGAUAUGGGAUGAAUAUUUUUGGAUGACCCCAGAAAAAGGCCAACCUAUUGUCCCAGCCCAUAUCUGUUGGGAACAAAGGGAACAAGAAGUUGGAUUUGGUGACCAUCCCAUAGAUGGAAAAGGACUAAAAUAUGUGGGAUACUUGUCUUCUGAGCAAUGUGAACAAAUAUUAAAGGUCACUUAUUGCCCAGAUUUACCAGCUCGCUGGCCUGGCUCAGACUGGAAGUACAACCCUGGCAUCAGAUGGGUGGCCCCUAAUGGCACCCAAUGACUGUGUGGAUCAAAUUUAUGGCCUUGGCUUCCAGUCAGUUGGGUCGGCUGCUGUACAUUAGGAUUUGCCUUUGCUCAUGGAAGUAUUAAGCCAUCCUUCCAACAAGCCCCAGUAAAUUUGCCUUAUUUACAUGCACAGUGGGCAAGGUCUGUGAUGAUUAAAAUAAAAGCUGGAACUAACUUCACAAAACAGGCCCUCCUGGACAAUGCAAAGGCAAUCCAAGCUUUAAAUGAAGAACAGAUACAAAUGAGAAAGGCAGUGAUUCAAAAUCAAAUGGCUUUAGACAUACUUAUGGUCACCCAAUGAGGGACCUGUGCUAUAAUUAAAAUAGAAUGUUGUGUAUAUAUCUCUGAUUUAUCUGGCAAUAUAUUAGCCACUUUAGACAACAUGAAAAACCAGGUAAAAGCUAUGUCUAAUGAUAAUCCUCCUUUUUAGAUGUUGAUAUUUUCUUGGAUCAAAGGUGAUUGGUGGGAAAUCUUUUUGUAAUUAUUUUGUUAAUCAUUAUAUUAUUAAUUUUGGGGCCUUGUAUUCUCCAGUGUAUAACUCAAUGUGUAACCUCCAGACUGACAGCCCUGCUGCAGUUACUUAGUCCCUGUGUGCCGUACUUACCCAUGACUGAUGCCCAUCGUUAAAGAUAAGAUGAGCAUCAAGAGGGGGAAUGUUGGGGCCAGUGUCAGGAAAGCAGGAGAGACUCCAUCUUGAAGCCUUUCAUCCAUCUUAAAGACAGGAUGUGAACUGGGCCUGAACUUUGGAGACGGUAGUUGAGGUCAGGCUGCCUUGGUCAGAUUAACCAUAAUCAUUGUUCCCUUCCUUUAACCUUAAUUGUUUGUUCUCCUAGCACCUACAGGUUGUAAAACUCAAUCAUAUACAAUAAAGAGGUUGCCAACAUGUAACCAAUCAUGUAGUGGGGGGUAUAAAACUGGGCCUCUCAGAAACAUCAGGGUCCUUGUUGGGAACUGAUUCCCCUUGGACCCACUGGCGUAAUAAACUGUACCCCACUGUC